rnacentral:tRNA from 1 species
UGGCUCAGUUGGUAGAGCAUGGUGUUUGCAACGCCAGGGUUGUGGGUAAGAUUCACAC